GACGAACGCUGGCGGCGUGCUUAACACAUGCAAGUCGAGCGGUAAGGCCCUUUCGGGGGUACACGAGCGGCGAACGGGUGAGUAACACGUGGGUGACCUGCCCUCAGCUCUGGGAUAAGCCUGGGAAACCGGGUCUAAUACUGGAUAUGACUCCAUGACGCAUGUUGUGGGGUGGAAGGCCUUGUGCGGCUGAGGAUGGGCCCGCGGCCUAUCAGCUUGUUGGUGGGGUGAUGGCCUACCAAGGCGACGACGGGUAGCCGGCCUGAGAGGGCGACCGGCCACACU
rnacentral:rRNA from 1 species